rnacentral:rRNA from 1 species
AUGGUGCUGGACCUACUCAGCCUCAUGGGCGCGUAUGGCGCCGGUACCUGCCGCGACAAGAUUUCAAUCUUCUACUUCGCGGUACUUGUGGCCAUCGUCUUCCUCUACAUCCUCGUUCUCAAGUUGAUGGACUGCUGGGACAAGAACUCCGAUUCCAGUGCCGGCAUGAUUCCUGCCCCCGUCGCCAGCUCCAUAGACGGGAUGCCCGUCAACAUGGGCUCCGACUCCGGUGGCACGACGCCCAUUCCCAAUCCUGACUCCGGCACGAGUUCCGGCCCUGUCGCCAGCUGCGAUGGCAGGAUGCCCGUCUCCAACGACAACACCGGCUCCGACGACAUCAUGCCCGCUCCCAAUCCCGACUCUAGCACCGACACGAUUCCGGCCCCCAUCCUCGGCUCUGACCCGGCCAUUGUCGACAAACGGUUCCGCGACCGCAAGGCCCUGAAGAAGCUGAAAGCCGAAGAACGGCUCCGCAAGGUCCUGAUGCUUCUGGCUACAUUCGCGGUGAGCAUCACGUACGUGGCCGGGCUGAGCACGCCAGGCGGGUUCUGGGACAGCACCGGGGGCAGCCACCGCCCAGGUGACGCCAUCCUCAAGGACCAGCACAACCCACGCCUGACGGUGUUCUUGCUCUGCAACACCACAGCAUUCGUGGUGUCCCUUCUCAUCACCAUGCUGCUUAUCAUCGACGGCAAGAAGCUCCGCAAGAAGAAGACGGCUCGGUCUCGCAUGCUCUGUGGGUGCAUCGUGGUCGCCCUGGUCGGCCUAGUCGGCGCAUACAUCGCCGGCAGCUGCAGGGAGAUUGAUACCACCGCCUACGUGGCCAGCUUGGUCGGUGCCGUUCUAGCAAUAGCACACAUCAUCCUACUCUAUGGUAUCUACGCUUCAGCGCAACAAACUGAAGAAAUUCAGCAGACUGAUGCUAAUGUCAGUACAAUACAGUGCAGUGGCAAGGAGGUUCUGGACAAGGCUCGCUCUCUUGUUCUACUGCUUGCCACUCUUGCCGCCGCCAUCACCUACACAGCGGGGUUGAAGCCACCGGGAGGACUUUGGCAGGACAACACCAACGGGCACAUGGCCGGUGACCCCAUCCUUCUCACAACCAAUGCUAGCCGAUACAAGGCCUUCUUCUACUGCAACUCGGUUGCCUUUGUGGCCUCCUUGGUGGCCAUUGUCCUAGUCCAGACGGAAAUUCUGGUCAAGCACCACGUGCUGGAGGCAGCCAUGAUACUUGACCUCUUUGGCCUCAUCGGUGCAUAUGCCGCCGGGAGCUGCCGGGGCGUGAACAGCUCCAUUUACGUCAUGGCUUUGGCAGGCCUCGUCCUGGUCUAUGUGGUGAUCCAUGUUAUCUUCUUCACGCUGGAUCACGAGGACAAAAACCACGACAACCAGGCAAAUCAGUUGCUGGAGAAGAGGCGCAAACGGUUGCUCCUCUUCGCGAUCUUGGCUGCGACCAUUACCUACCAAGCCGGCCUCACCCCUCCUGGUGGCUUCCUGCUCCAGGAUGACAACCUCGGACACCAGGCUGGCGACCCGGUCCUCUUGUACAACUUCCCACGUCGCUACAAGGCAUUCUUCUACUGCAACUCGGUGAGCUUCAUGCUUUCCAUCUCCCUCAUCCUCCUCCUGGUGAACCCCAAUCUAUACAGGCCAGCCAUACGAAGCAAUGCGCUAUCUGUUUGUACGGCUGUGGGCUUGUUUUGUUUGAUGGUGGCCUACGCCGCUGGAAGCACCCAACACCUCAAGACAUCCAUCUACAUCUUUGUGUUGGUCGGUGUGGUCCUCUUCGUUGCAGCUGGACUGCUGCUAGUAUUUGCGCUGAGGGAGCAAAACAAUAGUGACAAUUCAGCAGCUGCCGCGUCAUCCAUAUCCCAUGAACAGGAGGAAGAAGAAGAAAGGAACAAGGAGGAAGAAAGGAAGAAGCACGCGAGGCGCAAGUACCUGAUGCUGCUAGGAAUCUUGGUGGCAAGCGUUGCCUACCAGGCCGGCCUGGAACCGCCCGGCGGAGCAUGGCAGAGCAGUGGCAAUGGAUAUGAGGCAGGCGAUCCGGUGAUGCAUGAUAUCAGGAGGCCUCGGUACCUUGUCUUCUUCUACAGCAACUCCUUUUCCUUCGUGGCUUCCAUUGUUGUCAUCAUGAUGUUACUGCCGCACUGGCUGCCAAACAGGAAGAAAGAAGAAUGGGAGAAAUGGUCGUUGAGGGUGAUGAACUGGACGAUCCUGCUGGAUUUGGUCGCUCUCCUAGUGGCAUAUGCAGCCGGAUCCAGCAGGGGUUGGAAGACGUCUGUGUAUGUCAGCAUGCUCAUACUUGCCGUUCUGGGCUACUUUGCAAUCCAUAUGACGCUGUCAAUAUGGUCUGAUCGUUGCCAUCGCCGUCGUCCUCUCCAUGAGAGGGUUGAGAGCAGCCAAGAAAAUCCUCGAGUUUGGAUAAACCUGCUUCCCAAUUGGAGCAUGCCAGCGUGA